GAUGAACGCUGGCGGCGUGCCUAAUACAUGCAAGUCGAGCGAACGGACGAGAAGCUUGCUUCUCUGAUGUUAGCGGCGGACGGGUGAGUAACACGUGGAUAACCUACCUAUAAGACUGGGAUAACUUCGGGAAACCGGAGCUAAUACCGGAUAAUAUUUUGAACCGCAUGGUUCAAAAGUGAAAGACGGUCUUGCUGUCACUUAUAGAUGGAUCCGCGCUGCAUUAGCUAGUUGGUAAGGUAACGGCUUACCAAGGCAACGAUGCAUAGCCGACCUGAGAGGGUGAUAGGCCAAACUGGAAGUGAGACACGGUCCAGACUCCUACGGGAGGCAGCAGUAGGGAAUCUUCCGCAAUGGGCGAAAGCCUGACGGAGCAACGCCGCGUGAGUGAUGAAGGUCUUCGGAUCGUAAAACUCUGUUAUUAGGGAAGAACAUAUGUGUAAGUAACUGUGCACAUCUUGACGGUACCUAAUCAGAAAGCCACGGCUAACUACGU
rnacentral:rRNA from 1 species